rnacentral:tRNA from 1 species
CAGGACAUAGCUAAGUUAAUAAAGCAUUUCACUUACACCGAAAAGACGUCUGUGUAAAUCAGACUGCCCUGA